GUUAUCCAAGAUAUAUGCUAUUCGCAAAAACUUACUGUGAAGAUGAAGGUGAAAUCAUGUUAGAAGAAGUAUUAAAACAUGGAUAUAUCACAGCAUCUGAAGUCAUAAUAAAAACAUAUAAACGAAUUGAGGAGACACCUUCUAAAUGUGCUGAACAACUUUCUAUCUCAAAUUUGAAAAACAAAUUUGAGUUAUUAGU